CCCAACACGCCAGAACAUUAAACCAAAGCCCACUCUAAUAAGGAAUAAGAACACAGCAAACAGACAAUCAGCCCCUGAACAAAGGAUCCGCAAGGGCGAGGGCUACUCGCUCUCCCAUGUGGCUGAAAUCAACCCUGUUGAAAGACCAUGUGCUUCUAUGCCCCUCUCUGUGAAAGCUGCUACGCCUAACGUUCGCCAUCGUAAGCCUAAGAAGCAAUUUAUUGAGCCUGUGAAGCCAUACACGACCGGUCUCCCACCCAAAAGUAGCCGCCCUUCCUUUGUUCCGGUCUCGUCUUACCCGGCCACUGUAUCUUAUGAUAGUAACACAGCAGCUGAGCAACUAAAGGCGACGGAAGACUUAGUUUCAUUGUAUUUGACGCCUGAGGACGAUUUCACACAGUCACCCCCGUGGAGCAGAUACGUAUGUCCACACAAGCCUAAGAAGAGAUCUAGGAAGAGAUCUAUUGAUCCUGUGAAGCCAUACACGGACAGUGCCCCACCCAAA